ACUUGCUUCUUUUUAACAGCCCUAUCAGCCGAGAGAAAUAAUGACUCCUGAAUCAUUUGACAGUAAAAAAGUUAAAAUGAUGUCUCAAUGGCGCUGCAUCAUGCCAGACGCGCGUGGAUGAUUUGAAGAUAUUAGCCUAACAAGAUGGAAGCAGGUUUAAAAUUUUACAUAAGAAGUUACCUUUUUCAGAUACAGUUAAGCUAAUGAUCUCGAGAGGAUAUCGUCCUGGAUAAGGGUGGAGCCUACGCCCAAAAACAAGAUUACCUGAAAGAGAAAAGAAAGGGGGAAAACACACAGAGAUACAGUCGGGGAGGCCACAUGAAGAUGGAGGCAGAGACAGGAGUGAUGAGCCUGCAAGCCAAGGAAUGCCAAGGGCUGCCAGCAGCCAUGAGAAGCUGAGAGACACAGAGAACGAGUCCUCUGCCAGAGCCUCCAGAAGGAACUAACCCUGUCAAUACCUUGAUUUCGGACUUCUGGACUCCAGAACUAUAACCCUCCUUCCUCCACCUCACAAAAACUCACAAGCUGCAACCCUUCUGAUGUCCACUCCCACACAAACCAGCUUCAGGCCUUUUUCAAGAUGUGACUGGAGUGAUUUGCACCCGGAUGCCUAGACUCGCCAUCUGCUCAAAGACUGCUCAGAAAGCCCUCCCAUGCAUUCCCCUGCUGCAUACCAGCCCACUCUGCCUGCAGCUGCUGUCUGCAGGACUUCAUAUCUAUGCCACACUGUGUAAAAGCUGUGCUUCAAGAAAUCACAAAAACAUUUUCCUGCACCUACUACACAGCCUGAGUGCGGCAUAAGUUGACCUUGCUUGCUAAGAAAUGGGGCAAGAAAUGCUUUUUUGUGUGUGUCAUGUCUGUUUGUUUUUCAAUUAAGAGAGGAAAGCAUUAGGCAGAUGGAAUGUACAUGUGAGGAUGAGGAGACAGAAAACAAGUAGCCCUUUCCAUCAAGAUAGAGGGUUUUCUGGGGUUGCUGGCUAUUGAAUGUCACUCCUGAUUUCUCUUUCCAAGGCACUGUACCACCAGCCUACUGAGAUUGUGUGGGAGCUUUCAUGGGGGUUGUAUUUCACUGAUGAAAAUAAAUUUUUUGCAUAAUGUGAAUGUUUAUGUUUCUUUAUAGAAUAGACUUAGUUUAGCAAUAAGCUAAUAAUACUGACGUAACUCUAAUUCUCUGGGGAAAAAAUUUGCUCCCCCACCUUCCAUUCCUGCAACAUCAUCAAAG
rnacentral:lncRNA from 1 species